rnacentral:lncRNA from 1 species
GUGGAUUCUAGAACAGGGGUGGAUUCUAGAACAGGGGUGGAAUCUAGAACAGAUGUUGUUUCUAGAAUAUAUGUUGUUUCUAGAAUAUAUGUUGUUUCUAGAAUAUAUGUUGUUUCUAGAAUAUAUGUUGAUUCUAGAAUAUAUGUUGAUUCUAGAAUAUAUGUUGAUUCUAGAAUAUAUGUUGAUUCUGGAAUAUAUGUAGAUUCUGGAAUAUAUGUAGAUUCUGGAAUAUAUGUAGAUUCUAGAAUAUAUGUUGUUUCUAGAAUAUAUGUUGAUUCUAGAAUAUAUGUUGAUUCUAGAAUAUAUGUUGUUUCUAGAAUAUAUGUUGAUUCUAGAAUAUAUGUUGAUUCUAGAAUAUAUGUUGUUUCUAGAAUAUAUGUUGAUUCUAGAAUAUAUGUUGAUUCUAGAAUAUAUGUUGUUUCUAGAAUAUAUGUUGAUAUUCUAGAAUAUAUGUUGAUUCUAGAACAGAUGGUGAUUCUAGAAUAUAUGUUGAUUCUAGAACAGAUGGUGAUUCUAGAAUGGGGGGAUUCUAGAACAGGGCUGGCCCCAUGGACCAUUAUUAGAGAAAGAGCAUAGAGGUAGAAAGAGGGCUCUAGAUGGAUAUAACCUGGUUUGAUGAGUUCUCUUUCUACCUCUAUGAGAAGAGGGUUGCAAUUGACUGUGUACAUAGUAGUCCCUCUGUGUUUUCUACUCAGAUUUAUAACACCUGACUGGUGUUUUCUGCUCGGGUUUAAAACACAUCUCUGACUGGUGUUUUCUGCUCUGGUUUAAAACACAGCUCUGACUGGUGUUUUCUGCUCUGGUUUAAAACACAUCUCGGACUGCUAUGCACAUGCCUUAACUAACAACCUUGAUGUGUUUGUCACGAUGACGAUGAUGAUGCUAAGAAUAAAAACAUUUGUGUUUACACACCCAUACAUACACACUUCCCAUGGUUUUCAUUUGGGGGAUGGCGAGACAGGUAGAGGGAGGAACUCUUGAUUCAAGGAUUUUGGUUUUGUGAGAAGCAGUGAACGAGUGCACACUUCAGAAGAAAGGAGAUAUUAUUGGGACGCCCCCUAUAUGCUCUCCUCAGUCAGAAGCCAUGUCAGCAAUUCGCUAUAUAAACAGGUCUGUCUGUUGUUGAAGUGGGAGGGACAGAGAUGAUAAGAGGUUAGUCUGUCUGUUGUUGAAGAUGAUGGGAGGGACGUUAUGAAUACAGUCCCUGGUAGUCUACCAUCUACCAUCUACAUUAUGAAUACAGUCCCUGAGAAUCUACCAUCUACAUUAUGAAUACAGUCCCUGAUAGUCUACCAUCUACAUUAUGAAUACAGUCCCUGAUAGUCUACCAUCUACAUUAUGAAUACAGUCCCUGAGAGUCUACCAUCUACAUUAUGAAUACAGUCCCUGAUAGUCUACCAUCUACAUUAUGAAUACAGUCCCUGAGUCUACCAUCUACCAUCUACAUUAUGAAUACAGUCCCUGAGAGUCUACCAUCUACCAUCUACAUUAUGAAUACAGUCCCUGAGAGUCUACCAUCUACCAUCUACAUUAUGAAUACAGUCCCUGAUAGUCUACCAUCUACAUUAUGAAUAUAGUCCCUGAUAAUCUACCAUCUACAUUAUGAAUACAGUCCCUGAUAGUCUACCAUCUACCAUCUACAUUAUGAAUACAGUCCCUGAUAGUCUACCAUCUACAUUAUGAAUACAGUCCCUGAGAGUCUACCAUCUACCAUCUACAUUAUGAAUACAGUCCCUGAUAAUCUACCAUCUACAUUAUGAAUACAGUCCCUGAUAGUCUACCAUCUACAUUAUGAAUACAGUCCCUUGAUAUCUACCAUCUACCAUCUACAUUAUGAAUACAGUCCCUGAUAGUCUACCAUCUACCAUCUACAUUAUGAAUACAGUCCCUGAUAGUCUACCAUCCACCACCUGUCCUGUGACUUCUAAUAGGCUCUCGUGAAGGACAGGAAGUGAGAGACAGAGGGAAGGAAGACGUUUUAGACACACCCAAUGAAACUGUUCAUUAAGAACCAAUACAAUAGAACUUGUAUUGACUAUUCAACCCCCCCUCUGGAGCGGUUUGUCUCACUACGACAUCACUCUCUGGAUCCUUGACUUUAUAGGGUCCCCUGACGUUGUGAUUCUGGCAGGAUUUCAUCCAUUCUAUUGAUGUUUCCCAAAUGGCACCCUAUUCCCUAUAAUAGUGCACUACUUUAGACCAGAGCCCUAUGGCACCCUAUUCCCUAUAUAGUGCACUACUUUAGACCAGAGCCCUAUUCCCUAUAAUAGUGCACUACUUUAGACCAGAGCCUUAUUCCCU